rnacentral:tRNA from 1 species
AAGGGUAUAGCUCAGUGGUAGAGCACAUGCUUACGAUGCAUCAGGUCCUGGAUUCAAUCCCCAGGACCUCCA